rnacentral:rRNA from 1 species
AUUGAACGCUGGCGGCAGGCCUAACACAUGCAAGUCGAGCGGAGCGGCGGACGGGGGAGUAAUGCCUAGGUAUCUGCCUGGUAGUGGGGGAUGACGUCAGGAAACGGGCGCUAUUACUGCAUCCUAUCAGAAGAGCCUAGGUGGGAUUAGCUAGGGGGUGGGGUAAAGGCUUACCAAGGCGACGAUCCGUAACUGGUCUGAGAGGAUGAUCAGUCACACUGGAACUGAGACACGGUCCAGACUCCUACGGGAGGCAGCAGUGGGGAAUAUUGGACAAUGGGCGAAAGCCUGAUCCAGCCAUGCCGCGUGUGUGAAGAAGGCCUUCGGAUUGUAAAGUACUUUAAGUUGGGAGGCGUUACCAGCAGAAUAAGCACCGGCUAACUCCGUGCCAGCAGCCGCGGUAAUUC